ensembl:snRNA U6 U6 spliceosomal RNA
UUACUUCGGCAGUACGUAUCAUAUAUACUUAAAUCAAAAACUAUCGAGAAGAUUAGCAUGGCCCCUAUCCAAAGAUAAUAUCCAGAAGUGUGAGGCAUUCCAUAUUCUU